rnacentral:misc_RNA from 1 species
GAUGAAGAACGUAGCGAAAUGCGAUACUUGGUGUGAAUUGCAGAAUCCCGUGAACCAUCGAGUCUUUGAACGCAAGUUGCGCCCGAAGCCACUAGGCCGAGGGCACGCCUGCCUGGGCGUCACACGUCGUUGCCCCCCCCCCAUCUACUCCUUCGGGAUUGCGGGGGGCGGAUGAUGGCCUCCCGUGCGCCUAGCCGCGCGGUUGGCAUAAAUACCAAGUCCUCGGCGACGCACGCCACGACAAUCGGUGGUUGCGAAACCUCGGUUGCCCGUCGUGUGCGUUCGUCGCGCAUCGAGGGCUCGAAAAAAUGCUCGGCUCCGGCUCGGCUUUCAACGCGACCCCAGGUCAGGCGGGGUUACCCGCUGAAUUUAAGCAUAUCAAUGCGGAGGA